rnacentral:sRNA from 2 species
GAAGCGUCAUGAGAUGCCUCCACACAUCUAUGCUAUAUCUGAAUCUGCUUACAGAUGCAUGCUUCAAGAUCGUGAGGACCAGUCAAUUCUUUGCACGGGUGAGUCAGGUGCUGGGAAGACAGAAAAUACAAAGAAAGUUAUUCAGUACCUUGCCCAUGUUGCUUCUUCACAUAAAGGAAGAAAGGACCAUAAUAUUCCUGGGGAACUUGAACGGCAGCUUUUGCAAGCAAAUCCAAUUCUGGAAUCAUUUGGAAAUGCGAAGACUGUGAAAAAUGAUAACUCAUCUCGUUUUGGCAAAUUUAUUCGGAUCAACUUUGAUGUAACUGGCUAUAUCGUUGGGGCCAACAUUGAAACAUGUAUCCUUUUUCAUAAAUGUAUAAUCC